CCUACGGGUGGCAGCAGUGGGGAAUAUUGGACAAUGGGGGGAACCCUGAUCCAGCCAUGCCGCGUGUGUGAAGAAGGCCCUCGGGUUGUAAAGCACUUUCAGUGAGGAAGAACGCCUGGUGGUUAAUACCCAUCAGGAAAGACAUCACUCACAGAAGAAGCACCGGCUAACUCCGUGCCAGCAGCCGCGGUAAUACGGAGGGUGCGAGCGUUAAUCGGAAUUACUGGGCGUAAAGCGCGCGUAGGUGGCUUGAUAAGCCGGUUGUGAAAGCCCCGGGCUCAACCUGGGAACGGCAUCCGGAACUGUCAAGCUAGAGUGCAGGAGAGGAAGGUAGAAUUCCCGGUGUAGCGGUGAAAUGCGUAGAGAUCGGGAGGAAUACCAGUGGCGAAGGCGGCCUUCUGGACUGACACUGACACUGAGGUGCGAAAUCGUGGGUAGCAAACAGGAUUAGAUACCCCGGUAGUC
rnacentral:rRNA from 1 species